AACUUCUGAAUGUUGACCUCGGAUCAGGUAGGAAUACCCGCUGAACUUAAGCAUAUCAAUAAGCGGAGGAAAAGAAACCAACAGGGAUUGCCCUAGUAACGGCGAGUGAAGCGGCAACAGCUCAAAUUUGAAAUCUGGCUCUCGGGCCCGAGUUGUAAUUUGUAGAGGAUACUUUUGAUGCGGUGCCUUCCGAGUUCCCUGGAACGGGACGCCAUAGAGGGUGAGAGCCCCGUCUGGUUGGAUGCCAAAUCUCUGUAAAGUUCCUUCAACGAGUCGAGUAGUUUGGGAAUGCUGCUCUAAAUGGGAGGUAUAUGUCUUCUAAAGCUAAAUACCGGCCAGAGACCGAUAGCGCACAAGUAGAGUGAUCGAAAGAUGAAAAGCACUUUGAAAAGAGAGUUAAAAAGUACGUGAAAUUGUUGAAAGGGAAGCGUUUAUGACCAGACUUGGGCUUGGUUAAUCAUCUGGGGUUCUCCCCAGUGCACUUUUCCAGUCCAGGCCAGCAUCAGUUUUCCCCGGGGGAUAAAGGCGGCGGGAAUGUGGCUCUCUUCGGGGAGUGUUAUAGCCCACCGUGUAAUACCCUGGGGGGGACUGAGGUUCGCGCAUCUGCAAGGAUGCUGCGAAUG
rnacentral:rRNA from 1 species